rnacentral:rRNA from 1 species
GAUGAACGCUAGCGGCAGGCUUAAUACAUGCAAGUCGAGGGGUAGCAAGAUUGUAGCAAUACAAUUGUUGACGACCGGCAAACGGGUGCGGAACACGUACACAACCUUCCUACAAGUGGGGAAUAGCCCAGAGAAAUUUGGAUUAAUACCCCGUAACAUAGCUAUGUGGCAUCACAUUGCUAUUAUAGCUUCGGCGCUUGUUGAUGGGUGUGCGGCUGAUUAGAUAGUUGGCGGGGUAACGGCCCACCAAGUCUACGAUCAGUAGCUGAUGUGAGAGAAUGAUCAGCCACACGGGCACUGAGAAACGGGCCCGACUCCUACGAGAGGCAGCAGUAAGGAAUAUUGGACAAUGGACGCAAGUCUGAUCCAGCCAUGCCGCGUGAAGGAUUAAGGUCCUCUGGAUUGUAAACUUCUUUUAUAAGGGACGAAAAAAGGUCUUUCUAGAUCGUCUGACGGUACCUUAUGAAUAAGCACCGGCUAACUCCGUGCCAGCCGCCGCCGUAACAC